GGGUUGUGAGGUUAAGCGACUAAGCGUACACGGUGGAUGCCCUGGCAGUCAGAGGCGAUGAAGGACGUGCUAAUCUGCGAUAAGCGUCGGUAAGGUGAUAUGAACCGUUAUAACCGGCGAUUUCCGAAUGGGGAAACCCAGUGUGUUUCGACACACUAUCAUUAACUGAAUCCAUAGGUUAAUGAGGCGAACCGGGGGAACUGAAACAUCUAAGUACCCCGAGGAAAAGAAAUCAACCGAGAUUCCCCCAGUAGCGGCGAGCGAACGGGGAGGAGCCCAGAGCCUGAAUCAGUGUGUGUGUUAGUGGAAGCGUCUGGAAAGGCGCGCGAUACAGGGUGACAGCCCCGUACACAAAAAUACACAUAUUGUGAGCUCGAUGAGUAGGGCGGGACACGUGGUAUCCUGUCUGAAUAUGGGGGGACCAUCCUCCAAGGCUAAAUACUCCUGACUGACCGAUAGUGAACCAGUACCGUGAGGGAAAGGCGAAAAGAACCCCGGCGAGGGGAGUGAAAAAGAACCUGAAACCGUGUACGUACAAGCAGUGGGAGCACGCUUAGGCGUGUGACUGCGUACCUUUUGUAUAAUGGGUCAGCGACUUAUAUUCUGUAGCAAGGUUAACCGAAUAGGGGAGCCGAAGGGAAACCGAGUCUUAACUGGGCGUUAAGUUGCAGGGUAUAGACCCGAAACCCGGUGAUCUAGCCAUGGGCAGGUUGAAGGUUGGGUAACACUAACUGGAGGACCGAACCGACUAAUGUUGAAAAAUUAGCGGAUGACUUGUGGCUGGGGGUGAAAGGCCAAUCAAACCGGGAGAUAGCUGGUUCUCCCCGAAAGCUAUUUAGGUAGCGCCUCGUGAAUUCAUCUCCGGGGGUAGAGCACUGUUUCGGCAAGGGGGUCAUCCCGACUUACCAACCCGAUGCAAACUGCGAAUACCGGAGAAUGUUAUCACGGGAGACACACGGCGGGUGCUAACGUCCGUCGUGAAGAGGGAAACAACCCAGACCGCCAGCUAAGGUCCCAAAGUCAUGGUUAAGUGGGAAACGAUGUGGGAAGGCCCAGACAGCCAGGAUGUUGGCUUAGAAGCAGCCAUCAUUUAAAGAAAGCGUAAUAGCUCACUGGUCGAGUCGGCCUGCGCGGAAGAUGUAACGGGGCUAAACCAUGCACCGAAGCUGCGGCAGCGACGCUUAUGCGUUGUUGGGUAGGGGAGCGUUCUGUAAGCCUGCGAAGGUGUGCUGUGAGGCAUGCUGGAGGUAUCAGAAGUGCGAAUGCUGACAUAAGUAACGAUAAAGCGGGUGAAAAGCCCGCUCGCCGGAAGACCAAGGGUUCCUGUCCAACGUUAAUCGGGGCAGGGUGAGUCGACCCCUAAGGCGAGGCCGAAAGGCGUAGUCGAUGGGAAACAGGUUAAUAUUCCUGUACUUGGUAUUACUGCGAAGGGGGGACGGAGAAGGCUAUGUUGGCCGGGCGACGGUUGUCCCGGUUUAAGCGUGUAGGCUGGUUUUCCAGGCAAAUCCGGAAAAUCAAGGCUGAGGCGUGAUGACGAGGCACUACGGUGCUGAAGCAACAAAUGCCCUGCUUCCAGGAAAAGCCUCUAAGCAUCAGGUAACAUCAAAUCGUACCCCAAACCGACACAGGUGGUCAGGUAGAGAAUACCAAGGCGCUUGAGAGAACUCGGGUGAAGGAACUAGGCAAAAUGGUGCCGUAACUUCGGGAGAAGGCACGCUGAUAUGUAGGUGAAGUCCCUUGCGGAUGGAGCUGAAAUCAGUCGAAGAUACCAGCUGGCUGCAACUGUUUAUUAAAAACACAGCACUGUGCAAACACGAAAGUGGACGUAUACGGUGUGACGCCUGCCCGGUGCCGGAAGGUUAAUUGAUGGGGUCAGCGCAAGCGAAGCUCUUGAUCGAAGCCCCGGUAAACGGCGGCCGUAACUAUAACGGUCCUAAGGUAGCGAAAUUCCUUGUCGGGUAAGUUCCGACCUGCACGAAUGGCGUAAUGAUGGCCAGGCUGUCUCCACCCGAGACUCAGUGAAAUUGAACUCGCUGUGAAGAUGCAGUGUACCCGCGGCAAGACGGAAAGACCCCGUGAACCUUUACUAUAGCUUGACACUGAACAUUGAGCCUUGAUGUGUAGGAUAGGUGGGAGGCUUUGAAGUGUGGACGCCAGUCUGCAUGGAGCCGGCCUUGAAAUACCACCCUUUAAUGUUUGAUGUUCUAACGUGGACCCGUGAUCCGGGUUGCGGACAGUGUCUGGUGGGUAGUUUGACUGGGGCGGUCUCCUCCUAAAGAGUAACGGAGGAGCACGAAGGUUGGCUAAUCCUGGUCGGACAUCAGGAGGUUAGUGCAAUGGCAUAAGCCAGCUUGACUGCGAGCGUGACGGCGCGAGCAGGUGCGAAAGCAGGUCAUAGUGAUCCGGUGGUUCUGAAUGGAAGGGCCAUCGCUCAACGGAUAAAAGGUACUCCGGGGAUAACAGGCUGAUACCGCCCAAGAGUUCAUAUCGACGGCGGUGUUUGGCACCUCGAUGUCGGCUCAUCACAUCCUGGGGCUGAAGUAGGUCCCAAGGGUAUGGCUGUUCGCCAUUUAAAGUGGUACGCGAGCUGGGUUUAGAACGUCGUGAGACAGUUCGGUCCCUAUCUGCCGUGGGCGCUGGAGAACUGAGGGGGGCUGCUCCUAGUACGAGAGGACCGGAGUGGACGCAUCACUGGUGUUCGGGUUGUCAUGCCAAUGGCACUGCCCGGUAGCUAAAUGCGGAAGAGAUAAGUGCUGAAAGCAUCUAAGCACGAAACUUGCCCCGAGAUGAGUUCUCCCUGACCCUUUAAGGGUCCUGAAGGAACGUUGAAGACGACGACGUUGAUAGGCCGGGUGUGUAAGCGCAGCGAUGCGUUGAGCUAACCGGUACUAAUGAACCGUGAGGCUUAACCUUACAACGCCGAAG
rnacentral:rRNA from 1 species